UUCACCAUGUGGUUCUGCGCGUAUGGACCAAUCCUUCCGACCGUGUUAUGGCUCUUGGUUAUGGCUGGUCCUUGGUUUCAAGUCGGAAUGCCACAUCUCUUAAAUGGUCCCACCCUCGUCUACGAUGACAGCUGUUUUGUCGAAGGUGAAGUCCAGGAUGCCAACGCCAUUGAAACCCACACGGUGACUAGCCGACAAGAGUGCAAGAACAUUUGUGAUGCCCACACGGAAUGCAUUGUGGCCACUUUGAUCAAUGGAGAGACCACUUGUCUGAUCCAAGAGAGAUUCUCCUCCUUUGGACCAUUGACAGAUCCAAGUGUGACCACUUACUACAAGUUUUGUGGGGGGCACGCUGAGGGCGCAUGCUUUGUUCAAGGGGCGCGUUAUCGCUUCUUUGAUUUGGCCAAGAAGGUGUUGCCUUGGUUCCCGGACCCUCUAGAUGGACCUUCAGCCAUUUAUGAUUGUCUUCAAUGGUGUCGAGAUACUCCUGGAUGCACUAGCGCCAAUUACAACUUUGAGACCAAUCCGGUUGUCAACUAUUCCUUCAUGUGCUUUCUGCAUUACAAAAACAACCCCUUGGCAUUCGGGCAUUAUGAAUAUGGAGUUACUGUUUUACCCGAUUGUUAUAGCGAAUGUCUUGUUGAGCCUGUCUCAACUCUGGUCAAUGGAGACUACUUCGAAGAUGGUCGAACCACUCGAGUUUGGUUAGCCGGAGAAAGUGUCGAGUAAGUUUGAAAGUCUCCACUUAAGUUCGAUUAACAACAGCUAGGAGUAAUAAAUCUGACACGGUUAAUCGCAUCACUGGCAAUGAAGAUUGCAUUGACAAAUAGCUAGCCAACAAUUGAGACGAGUGCGGAGUUGCAAGCAUUUGUGGAUUGCAUGCUGAAAAUGGAAAUGAUAAUUUCGAUUCGGAUGUUUGGAGAUCGGUUAAAAUGCUCUUGUAUUUAACAUGCCAAUGAAGAAGUGCCAAUUACUUUCCAAAAUAAAUUGAUAGCAAUAAAGUACUGCUAUGAAC